GGGGUGAGUAAUGUAUCGGAACGUACCUUUCAGUGGGGGAUAACGUAGCGAAAGUUACGCUAAUACCGCAUAUUCUGUGAGCAGGAAAGCAGGGGAUCGCAAGACCUUGCGCUGAUUGAGCGGCCGAUAUCAGAUUAGCUAGUUGGUGAGGUAAAGGCUCACCAAGGCGACGAUCUGUAGCGGGUCUGAGAGGAUGAUCCGCCACACUGGAACUGAGACACGGUCCAGACUCCUACGGGAGGCAGCAGUGGGGAAUUUUGGACAAUGGGGGCAACCCUGAUCCAGCCAUGCCGCGUGAGUGAAGAAGGCCUUCGGGUUGUAAAGCUCUUUCGGCCGGGAAGAAAUCGCAUGGGUUAAUACCCUGUGCGGAUGACGGUACCGGCAUAAGAAGCACCGGCUAACUACGUGCCAGCAGCCGCAGUAAUACGUAGGGUGCGAGCGUUAAUCGGAAUUACUGGGCGUAAAGCGUGCGCAGGCGGUUUUUUAAGACAGGCGUGAAAUCCCCGGGCUCAACCUGGGAACUGCGCUUGUGACUGGAAGGCUAGAGUAUGGCAGAGGGGGGUGGAAUUCCACGUGUAGCAGUGAAAUGCGUAGAGAUGUGGAGGAACACCAAUGGCGAAGGCAGCCCCCUGGGCCAAUACUGACGCUCAUGCACGAAAUCGUGGGUAGCAAACAGGAUUAGAUACCCUGGUAGUCCACGCCCUAAACGAUGUCAACUAGGUGUUGGGUGGGUAAAACCAUUUAGUACCGGAGCUAACGCGUGAAGUUGACCGCCUGGGGAGUACGGCCGCAAGGUUAAAACUCAAAGGAAUUGACGGGGACCCGCACAAGCGGUGGAUGAUGUGGAUUAAUUCGAUGCAACGCGAAAAACCUUACCUACCCUUGACAUGUCCAGGAGCCUGAAGAGAUUUGGGUGUGCCCGAAAGGGAACUGGAACACAGGUGCUGCAUGGCUGUCGUCAGCUCGUGUCGUGAGAUGUUGGGUUAAGUCCCGCAACGAGCGCAACCCUUGUCGUUAAUUGCCAUCAUUUAGUUGGGCACUUUAACGAGACUGCCCGUGACAAACCGGAGGAAGGUGGGGAUGACGUCAAGUCCUCAUGGCCCUUAUGGGUAGGGCUUCACACGUCAUACGAUGGUCGGUACAAAGGGUUGCCAAGCCGCGAGGUGGAGCCAAUCCCAGAAAGCCGAUCGUAGUCCGGAUCGCAGGCUGCAACUCGCCUGCGUGAAGUCGGAAUCGCUGGUAAUCGUGGAUCAGCAUGUCACGGUGAAUACGUUCCCGGGUCUUGUACACACCGCCCGUCACACCAUGGGAGCGGGUUCCGCCAGAAGUAGGUAGCCUAACCGCAAGGAGGGCGCUUACCACGGCGGGGUUCGUGACUGGGGUGAAGUCGUAACGAGGUA
rnacentral:rRNA from 1 species